rnacentral:tRNA from 1 species
GCUGUAGCUCAGUGGUAAAGCAUCUGUUUUGCAUGCAGAAGGUCCCAGGUUCAAUCCUCAGCAUCUCUG